rnacentral:misc_RNA from 1 species
AGGAGUUACUAUCGUUGCACCAGUGCCUCCUGUAAUGUGAAGAAGAGAGUAGAGAGAUCUUUCAGUGAUCCAAGCAUAGUUGUGACCACCUAUGAAGGCCAACAUACCCAUCCUAGCCCUGUUAUGCCCCGUCCAAGCUUUGCUGGAGCUGCGUCAGAGUCUGGUUUCUCCGCAACUACUUUUGCCAUGCCAAUGCAAAGAAGACUAUCGCUCUAUCAACAGCAGCAACAACCCCUUGUCAAUAGCUUCUCACCUCUGGGUUUCGGUUAUAACGGAACAACAAAUGCUAGUUUUCUACAUGAAAGGCGCUUUUGCACCAACCCAGCGGGGUCUACUUUGCUUGAGGAUCAUGGGCUUCUUGAAGACAUUGUCCCCUCCCAUAUGCUAAACGAGGAGUAGAUGAGAACACGAUUGCUACUUUGUAGUUCCAUUCAC